rnacentral:rRNA from 1 species
UACGAAGGGGGCUAGCGUUGUUCGGAAUUACUGGGCGUAACGCGCACGUAGGCGGACAUUUAAGUCAGGGGUGAAAUCCCGGGGUUCAACCUCGGAACUGCCUUUGAUACUGGGUGUCUUGAGUAUGGAAGAGGUAAGUGGAAUUGCGAGUGUAGAGGUGAAAUUCGUAGAUAUUCGCAGGAACACCAGUGGCGAAGGCGGCUUACUGGUCCAUUACUGACGCUGAGGUGCGAAAGCGUGGGGAGCAAACAGG